rnacentral:misc_RNA from 1 species
GGUUUGAUCCUGGCUCAGAUUGAACGCUGGCGGAUGCUUUACACAGCGCUAGUCGAACGGCAGCACGGACUUCGGUCUGGUGGCGAGUGGCGAACGGUGGUAAUGUAUCGGAACGUGCCUAGUAGCGGGGGAUAACUACGCGAAAGCGUAGCUAAUACAUACGCCCUUCAGGGAAAGCGGGGACCUUCGGGCCUCGCACUAUUAGAAGCAGCCGAUAUCCGGAUUAGCCUAGUUGGUGGGGUAACGGCUCACAAGGCGACGAUCCGUAGCUGGUUUGAGGACGACCAGCCACACUGGGACUGAGACACGGCCCAGACUCCUACGGGAGGCAGCAGUGGGGAAUUUUGGACAAUGGGGGAAACCCUGAUCCGCAUGCAUCCCGCGUGUGCGAUGAAGGCCUUCGGGUUGUAAAGCACUUUUGGCAGGAAAGAAACGGCACGGGAUAAUACCCCGUGCAACUGACAGUACCUGCAGAAUAAGCACCGGCCUAACUACGUGCCAGCAGCCGCGGUAAUACGUAGGGUGCAGGAAGCGUUAAUCGGAAUUACUGGGCGUAAAGCGUGCGCAGGCGGUUCGGAAAGAAAGAUGUGAAAUCCCAGAGCUUAACUUUGGAACUGCAUUUUUAACUACCGAGCUAGAGUGUGUCAGAGGGAGGUGGAAUUCCCCUUGUCUUGAUGAAAUGCGUAGAUAUGCGGAGGAACACCGAUGGCGAAGGCAGCCU